GACGAACGCUGGCGGCGUGCUUAACACAUGCAAGUCGAACGAAGUGGCGAACGGGUGAGUAAUACGUGGGUAACCUGCCCUCCUUUUUGGGAUAAGCCUUGGAAACGGGGUCUAAUACCGAAUAAAGGGGGAUGGGCUCGCGGCCUAUCAGCUUGUUGGUGGGGUGAUGGCCUACAAAGGCGGUGACGGGUAGCCUGCCGGAGAGGGUGACCGGCCACAUUGGGACUCAGAUACGGCCCAGACUCCUACGGGAGGCAGCAGUGGGGGAUAUUGCACAAGCGACGAAAGUCUGAUGCAGCGACGCCGCGUGGUGGAUUAAGGCCUUCUUUUUGUAAACUCCUUUCGACAGGGACGCGGUACCUGUAUAAGAAGCACCGGCUAACUACGUGCCAGCAGCCGCGGUAAUAC
rnacentral:rRNA from 1 species